rnacentral:rRNA from 1 species
GGAAUCAUUGGGCGUAAAGAGCGCGUAGGCGGUCCGGUAAGUCGGUUGUGAAAACUGGGGGCUCAACCCUCAGACGCCGACCGAUACUGUCGGGCUAGAGUCCGGAAGAGGCGAGUGGAAUUCCUGGUGUAGCGGUGAAAUGCGCAGAUAUCAGGAGGAACACCAAUGGCGAAGGCAGCUCGCUGGGACGGUACUGACGCUGAGGCGCGAAAGCGUGGGGAGCAAACAGG